UGGGGAAUAUUGCACAAUGGGCGAAAGCCUGAUGCAGCAACGCCGCGUGAGUGAUGAAGGCCUUCGGGUUGUAAAGCUCUGUCUUUUGGGACGAUAAUGACGGUACCAAAGGAGGAAGCCACGGCUAACUACGUGCCAGCAGCCGCGGUAAUACGUAGGUGGCAAGCGUUGUCCGGAUUUACUGGGCAUAAAGGAUGCGUAGGCGGAUUUUUAAGUGAGAUGUGAAAUACCCGGGCUUAACUUGGGUGCUGCAUUUCAAACUGGGAAUCUAGAGUGCGGGAGAGGAGAAUGGAAUUCCUAGUGUAGCGGUGAAAUGCGUAGAGAUUAGGAAGAACACCAGUGGCGAAGGCGAUUCUCUGGACCGUAACUGACGCUGAGGCAUGAAAGCGUGGGUAGCAAACAGGAUUAGAUACCCUGGUAGUCCACGCCGUAAACGAUGAGUACUAGGUGUAGGAGGUAUCGACCCCUUCUGUGCCGCAGUUAACACAAUCAAGUACUCCGCCUGGGAAGUACGAUCGCAAGAUU
rnacentral:rRNA from 1 species